rnacentral:rRNA from 1 species
AUUGAACGCUGGCGGCAUGCCUUACACAUGCAAGUCGAACGGCAGCAUGAUCUAGCUUGCUAGAUUGAUGGCGAGUGGCGAACGGGUGAGUAAUACAUCGGAACGUGCCCUGUAGUGGGGGAUAACUAGUCGAAAGAUUAGCUAAUACCGCAUACGACCUGAGGGUGAAAGUGGGGGACCGCAAGGCCUCAUGCUAUAGGAGCGGCCGAUGUCUGAUUAGCUAGUUGGGGAGGUAAAGGCUCACCAAGGAGACGAUCAGUAGCUGGUCUGAGAGGACGAUCAGCCACACUGGGACUGAGACACGGCCCAGACUCCUACGGGAGGCAGCAGUGGGGAAUUUUGGACAAUGGGCGAAAGCCUGAUCCAGCAAUGCCGCGUGUGUGAAGAAGGCCUUCGGGUUGUAAAGCACUUUUGUCCGGAAAGAAAUGGCUCUGGUUAAUACCUGGGGUCGAUGACGGUACCGGAAGAAUAAGGACCGGCUAACUACGUG